UACAGAGGGUGCAAGCGUUGUUCGGAAUUACUGGGCGUAAAGGGCGCGUAGGCGGCCACUGCAAGUCAGUUGUGAAAUCUCCGGGCUUAACCCGGAAAGGUCAACUGAUACUGCAGGGCUAGAGUGCAGAAGGGGCAACUGGAAUUCUCGGUGUAGCGGUGAAAUGCGUAGAUAUCGAGAGGAACACCUGCGGCGAAGGCGGGUUGCUGGGCUGACACUGACGCUGAUGUGCGAAAGCUAGGGGAGCGAACGGG
rnacentral:rRNA from 1 species